AGUGAACGCUGGCGGUAGGCCUAACACAUGCGAGUCGAACGGCAGCACAGUAAGAGCUUGCUCUUACGGGUGGCGAGUGGCGGACGGGUGAGGAAUACAUCGGAAUCUACUUUUUCGUGGGGGAUAACGUAGGGAAACUUACGCUAAUACCGCAUACGACCUACGGGUGAAAGCAAGGGAUCUUCGGACCUUGCGCGAUUGAAUGAGCCGAUGUCGGAUUAGCUAGUUGGCGGGGUAAAGGCCCACCAAGGCGACGAUCCGUAGAUGGUCUGAGAGGAUGAUCAGCAACACUGGAAGUGAGACACGGUCCAGACUACUACGGGAGGCAGCAGUGGGGAAUAUUGGACAAUGGGCGAAAGCCUGAUACAGCCAUACCGCGUGGGUGAAGAAGGCCUUAGGGUUGUAAAGCCCUUUUGUUGGGGAAGAAAAGCAGCAGGUUAAUACCCCGCUGUUCUGACGGUACCCAAAGAAUAAGCACCGGCUAACUUCGUG
rnacentral:rRNA from 1 species